GUAGGUGGCAAGCGUUGUCCGGAAUUAUUGGGGCGUAAAGCGCGCGCAGGUGGUUCUUUAAGUCUGAUGUGAAAGCCCCUGGGCUCAACCGGGGAGGGUCACUGGAAACUGGGGAACUUGAGUGCAGGAGAGGAAAGUGGAAUUCCACGUGUAGCGGUGAAAUGCGUAGAUAUGUGGAGGAACACCAGUGGCGAAGGCGACUUUCUGGCCUGUAACUGACACUGAGGCGCGAAAGCGUGGGGAGCAAACAGGAUUAGAUACCCUGGUAGUCCACGCCGUAAACGAUGAGUGCUAAGUGUUGGGGGGUUUCCGCCCCUCAGUGCUGCAGCUAACGCAUUAAGCACUCCGCCUGGGGAGUACGGUCGCAAAGACUG
rnacentral:rRNA from 1 species